CCUACGGGGGGCUGCAGUGGGGAAUAUUGGGCAAUGGGCGCAAGCCUGACCCAGCGACGCCGCGUGAGGGAAGAAGGCCCUUGGGUCGUAAACCUCUGUUGUAUGGGAAGAAGGACGUGACGGUACCAUACGAGGAAGUCCCGGCUAACUACGUGCCAGCAGCCGCGGUAAUACGUAGGGGACGAGCGUUGUCCGGAAUUACUGGGCGUAAAGGGCGCGCAGGCGGAUAUUUAAGUCAGCUGUUAAAGUCAUGGGCUCAACUCAUGGAUGCGGUUGAAACUGGAUAUCUCGAGUGCUGGAGAGGUAGGCGGAAUUCCCGGUGUAGCGGUGAAAUGCGUAGAUAUCGGGAAGAACACCAGUGGCGAAGGCGGCUUACUGGCCAGCAACUGACGCUGAGGCGCGAAAGCCAGGGGAGCGAACGGGCUUAGAUACCCCAGUAGUC
rnacentral:rRNA from 1 species